rnacentral:rRNA from 1 species
UACGGAGGGGACUAGCGUUGUUCGGAAUCACUGGGCGUAAAGCGCACGUAGGCGGAUGUGUCAGUCAGGGGUGAAAUCCCGGAGCUCAACUUCGGAACUGCCUCUGAUACAGCACGUCUUGAGUUCGAGAGAGGUGGGUGGAAUUCCUAGUGUAGAGGUGAAAUUCGUAGAUAUUAGGAAGAACACCGGUGGCGAAGGCGGCCCACUGGCUCGAUACUGACGCUGAGGUGCGAAAGCGUGGGGAGCAAACAGG